GACGAACGCUGGCGGCGUGCCUAAUGCAUGCAAGUCGCACGCACCUUUCGGGGUGAGUGGCGCACGGCUGAGGAACACGUGGGAAUCUGCCCGGGUGUGGGGGAUAACCCAUCGAAAGGUGGGCUAAUCCCGCAUACGCUCCGCAAGGAGGAAAGCGGCAACGCGCACCCGGAGGAGCCCGCGGCCCAUCAGGUCGUUGGUGGGGUAACAGCCUACCAAGCCAAUGACGGGUAGCUGGUCUGAGAGGACAGACAGCCAGACUGGGACUGAGAACGGCCCAGACUCCUACGGGAGGCAGCAGCAAGGAAUUUUCGUCAAUGGGCGCAAGCCUGAACGAGCAACGCCGCGUGCGGGAUGACGGCCUUCGGGUUGUAAACCGCUUUUUGGGGGGACGAUGAUGACGGUACCCUCGGAAUAAGCCCCGGCUAACUCUGUGCCAGCAGCCGCGGUAAUACAGAGGGGGCAAGCGUUGUCCGGACUUACUGGGCGUAAAGCGUCCGCAGGUGGCGCAGCAAGUGUUGUGUGAAAGCCCCGCGCUUAACGCGGGGAGGCCACGACAGACUGUUGGGCUGGAGGGGUGCAGAGGGUCGUGGAAUUGCCGGUGUAGUGGUGAAAUGCGUAGAGAUCGGCAGGAACACCAAGGACGAAGGUAGCGACCUGGGCACCACCUGACACUCAGGGACGACAGCGUGGGGAGCGAACCGGAUUAGAUACCCGGGUAGUCCACGCCGUAAACGAUGGAUGCUCGGCGUGUGGCGGCUAUCAACGCCGCUGGGCGCCUCAGCUGACGCGCAAGCAUCCCGCCUGGGAACUACGAGCGCAAGCUUAAAACUCAAAGGAAUUGACGGGGGCCCCGCACAGCAGCGAAGCGUGUGGUUUAAUUCGACGCAACACGCAGAACCUCACCCAGACUGGACAUGGCACUGCGAACGUCGGAAAACGCGUUUGCUUUCGAGGGGGUGCCACAGAUGCUGUUGGGCUGUCGUCAGCUCGUGUCGUGAGAUGUUGGGUUCAGUCCCGCAACGAGCGCACCCCCUAUGGUCAGUUACUUGUGUCUGGCCAGACUGCCCGUAAGGGAGGAAGGCGGGGAUGACGUCAAGUCCGCAUGGCUCUUACGUCUGGGGCUACACACACGCUACAAUGACGGUCGCAAUGCGCUGCUAGUCGGCAACGGCGUGCUAAUCGCCAAGGACCGUCCCAGUGCAGAUUGGGGGCUGCAACUCGCCCCCAUGAAGGCGGAGUUGCUAGUAACCGCGUAUCAGCGAUGGCGCGGUGAAUACGUACCCGGGCCUUGUACACACCGCCCGUCACGUCAUGGGAGUUGUCAACGCCUGAAGUCCGUGGGCCAACCGUUCGCGGGGGCAGCGGCCGAGGGCUGGGGCAGCGACUGGGACG
rnacentral:rRNA from 1 species